rnacentral:rRNA from 1 species
AGUGAACGCUGGCGGUAGGCCUAACACAUGCAAGUCGAACGGCAGCACAGUAAGAGCUUGCUCUUACGGGUGGCGAGUGGCGGACGGGUGAGGAAUACAUCGGAAUCUACUUUUUCGUGGGGGAUAACGUAGGGAAACUUACGCUAAUACCGCAUACGACCUCCGGGGGAAAGAGGGGGACCUUCGGACCUUGCGCGAUUGAAGGAGCCGAUGUCGGAUUAGCUAGUUGGCGGGGUAAAGGCCCACCAAGGCGACGAUCCGUAGCUGGUCUGAGAGGAUGAUCAGCCACACUGGAACUGAGACACGGUCCAGACUCCUACGGGAGGCAGCAGUGGGGAAUAUUGGACAAUGGGCGCAAGCCUGAUCCAGCCAUACCGCGUGGGUGAAGAAGGCCUUCGGGUUGUAAAGCCCUUUUGUUGGGAAAGAAAAGCAGCAGGUUAAUACCCCGCUGUUCUGACGGUACCCAAAGAAUAAGCACCGGCUAACUUCGUG